rnacentral:rRNA from 1 species
GUCGUCGCACAAACACGCUCCGUCGUUUUGGUGAUUUAGGUUACUGAAAUGAUAGGGUCAAGCGACUAAGUGCAUCUGGUGGAUGCCUUGGCGAUCACAGGCGAUGAAGGACGUGUAAGCCUGCGAAAAGCGCGGGGGAGCUGGCAAUAGAGCUUUGAUCCCGCGAUGUCCGAAUGGGGAAACCCCUCCGCAAGGAGAUCCCUGACUGAAUACAUAGGUCAGUGGAGGCGAACCGAGUGAACUGAAACAUCUAAGUAACUCGAGGAACAGAAAUCAACCGAGAUUCCGUAAGUAGUGGCGAGCGAACGCGGAACAGCCUGUACGUGUUAUGGAUUGUGUUAGUGGAAGGUUAUGGAAAGGACCGCCAUAGUGGGUGAUAGCCCCGUACACGAAAACACAUUCCAAGGACUAGGCGUACGAGAAGUAGGGCGGGACACGCGAAAUCCUGUCUGAAGAUGGGGGGACCAUCCUCCAAGGCUAAAUACUCGUGAUCGACCGAUAGUGAACCAGUACCGUGAGGGAAAGGCGAAAAGAACCCCGGGAGGGGAGUGAAAUAGAACCUGAAACCGGAUGCAUACAAACAGUGGGAGCGGACUUGUUCCGUGACUGCGUACCUUUUGUAUAAUGGGUCAGCGACUUACGUUCAGUAGCAAGCUUAACCGAAUAGGGGAGGCGUAGGGAAACCGAGUCCGAAUAGGGCGUCUUAGUUGCUGGGCGUAGACCCGAAACCGAGUGAUCUAUCCAUGGCCAGGAUGAAGGUGCGGUAACACGCACUGGAGGUCCGAACCCACUAGUGUUGCAAAACUAGGGGAUGAGCUGUGGAUAGGGGUGAAAGGCUAAACAAACUCGGAGAUAGCUGGUUCUCCCCGAAAACUAUUUAGGUAGUGCCUCAUGUAUCACUUCCGGGGGUAAAGCACUGUUAUGGCUAGGGGGUCAUUGCGAUUUACCAAACCAUGGCAAACUCUGAAUACCGGAAAGUGCGAGCAUGGGAGACAGACGGUGGGUGCUAACGUCCAUCGUCAAGAGGGAAACAACCCAGACCGCCAGCUAAGGUCCCAAAUGAUCAGUUAAGUGGUAAACGAAGUGGGAAGGCCUAGACAGCCAGGAUGUUGGCUUAGAAGCAGCCAUCAUUUAAAGAAAGCGUAAUAGCUCACUGGUCGAGUCGUCCUGCGCGGAAGAUGUAACGGGGCUCAAACUGAUAACCGAAGCUGCGGAUGGGCACGUAAGUGUCCGUGGUAGGGGAGCGUUCUGUAGGUCUGUGAAGGUGUCUCGUAAGGGAUGCUGGAGAUAUCAGAAGUGCGAAUGCUGACAUGAGUAGCGAUAAAGCGGGUGAAAAGCCCGCUCGCCGAAAGCCCAAGGUUUCCUACGCAACGUUCAUCGGCGUAGGGUGAGUCGGCCCCUAAGGCGAGGCUGAAAAGCGUAGUCGAUGGGAAACGGGUUAAAAUUCCCGUACUUUUGUGUAGUGCGAUGUGGGGACGGAGAAGGUUAGGUCAUCAGACUGUUGGAAUAGUCUGUUUAAGCCGGUAGGCGUGAGGGGUAGGCAAAUCCGCCCUUCUUUAACGCCGAGACGUGAUGACGAGGGUCUACGGACCUGAAGUGACUGAUACCACGCUUCCAGGAAAAGCCACUAAGCUUCAGCUACACAAGAACCGUACCGCAAACCGACACAGGUGGGCAGGAUGAGAAUUCUAAGGCGCUUGAGAGAACUCAGGAGAAGGAACUCGGCAAAUUGAUACCGUAACUUCGGGAGAAGGUAUGCCUCUUAGAGUGUAGGACUUCGCGUUCGAAGCUUUGAGAGGUCGCAGAGAAUCGGUGGCUGCGACUGUUUAACAAAAACACAGCACUGUGCCAACACGAAAGUGGACGUAUACGGUGUGACGCCUGCCCGGUGCCGGAAGGUUAAGUGAUGGGGUGCAAGCUCUUGAUCGAAGCCCCGGUAAACGGCGGCCGUAACUAUAACGGUCCUAAGGUAGCGAAAUUCCUUGUCGGGUAAGUUCCGACCCGCACGAAUGGCGUAACGAUGGCCACACUGUCUCCUCCUGAGACUCAGCGAAGUUGAAGUGUUUGUGAAGAUGCAAUCUCCCCGCUGCUAGACGGAAAGACCCCGUGAACCUUUACUGUAGCUUUGCAUUGGACUUUGAACAGACUUGUGUAGGAUAGGUGGGAGGCUUUGAAGCCAGGACGCUAGUUCUGGUGGAGCCGUCCUUGAAAUACCACCCUGGUGUGUUUGAGGUUCUAACCUUGGUCCGUGAUCCGGAUUGGGGACAGUGCAUGGUAGGCAGUUUGACUGGGGCGGUCUCCUCCCAAAGUGUAACGGAGGAGUUCGAAGGUUACCUAGGUACGGUCGGAAAUCGUGCUGAUAGUGCAAUGGCAAAAGGUAGCUUAACUGCGAGACCGACAAGUCGAGCAGGUGCGAAAGCAGGACAUAGUGAUCCGGUGGUUCUGAAUGGAAGGGCCAUCGCUCAACGGAUAAAAGGUACUCCGGGGAUAACAGGCUGAUACCGCCCAAGAGUUCACAUCGACGGCGGUGUUUGGCACCUCGAUGUCGGCUCAUCACAUCCUGGGGCUGUAGCCGGUCCCAAGGGUAUGGCUGUUCGCCAUUUAAAGUGGUACGUGAGCUGGGUUCAAAACGUCGUGAGACAGUUUGGUCCCUAUCUGCAGUGGGCGUUGGAAGUUUGACGGGGGCUGCUCCUAGUACGAGAGGACCGGAGUGGACGCACCUCUGGUGUACCGGUUGUGACGCCAGUCGCAUUGCCGGGUAGCUAAGUGCGGAAGAGAUAACCGCUGAAAGCAUCUAAGCGGGAAACUUGCCUGAAGAUGAGACUUCCCUGGAGGCUUGACCUCCCUGAAGAGUCGUUCGAGACCAGGACGUUGAUAGGUCGGGUGUGGAAGCGCUGUGAGGCGUGAAGCUAACCGAUACUAAUUGCUCGUGAGGCUUGA